rnacentral:rRNA from 1 species
GGGCAUGUGCACGCUUCACUAGUCUUUCAACCACCUGUGAACUUUUGAUAGAUCUGUGAAGUCGUCCUUCAAGUCGUCAGACUUGGUUUGCUGGGAUUUAAACGUCUCGGUGUGACAACGCAGUCUAUUUACUUAACACACCCCAAAUGUAUGUCUACGAAUGUCAUUUAAUGGGCCUUGUGCCUAUAAACCAUAAUACAACUUUCAACAACGGAUCUCUUGGCUCUCGCAUCGAUGAAGAACGCAGCGAAAUGCGAUAAGUAAUGUGAAUUGCAGAAUUCAGUGAAUCAUCGAAUCUUUGAACGCACCUUGCGCCCCUUGGUAUUCCGAGGGGCAUGCCUGUUUGAGUGUCAUUAAAUUCUCAAACUCACAUUUAUUUGUGAUGUUUGGAUUGUUGGGGGUUGCUGGCUGUAACAAGUCGGCUCCUCUUAAAUGCAUUAGCAGGACUUCUCAUUGCCUCUGCGCAUGAUGUGAUAAUUAUCACUCAUCAAUAGCACGCAUGAAUAGAGUCCAGCUC